rnacentral:rRNA from 1 species
AGAGUUUGAUCCUGGCUCAGAGUGAACGCUAGCGGUGCGCCUAACACAUGCAAGUCGAGUGGGUUUAGACCCACGGCGAACGGCUGAGUAACACGUUGGAACCUACCCCAGACUCAGGGAUAACCCCUCGAAAGAGGGAAUAAUACCGGAUGCCCCCGCAAGGGGAAAGCUUUUGCGGUCUGGGAGGGGCCUGCGGCCUAUCAGGUAGUUGGUGGGGUAAUUGCCUACCAAGCCAAUGACGGGUAACUGGUCUGAGAGGACGACCAGUCAGAAUGGGACUGAGACACGGCCCAUACUCCUACGGGAGGCAGCAGUGAGGAAUCUUCCGCAAUGGGCGAAAGCCUGACGGAGCGACACCGCGUGAAGGAUGGAGCCCCUCUGGGGUGUAAACUUCUGUUCUGAGGGAAGAAAUUUUUGACGGUACCUCAGGAGAAAGCACCGGCUAUUCCGUGCCAGCAGCCGCGGUAAGACGGAAGGUGCAAGCGUUACUCGGAAUCACUGGGCGUAAAGCGUCCGCAGCCUUUUAAGUCAGUCUGGCGUAAAAGCACGAAGCUCAACUCCGUGUACGUGCCGGAAACUGCUUAAAUAGAGUCAUUCAUAGGCAACUGGAAUGUCGUGUGUAGGGGUAAAAUCCGUAGAUCCACGAUGGAACGCCAAAAGCGAAAGCAGGUUGCUGAAUGUACUGACGGUCAGGGACGAAAGCGUGGGGAGCGAAGGGGAUUAGAUACCCCCGUAGUCCACGCCCUAAACUAUGCGUGCUCGGUGUGGGAACGUUCAAUCUGUUCCCGUGCCUUAAGCUAACGCGGUAAGCACGCCGCCUGGGGAGUACGGUCGCAAGAUUAAAACUCAAAGGAAUAGACGGGGACCCACACAAGCGGUGGAGCAUGGGGUUUAAUUCGAUAGUAACCGGAGAACCUCACCCAGAUUUGACAUCCCGGGAAUUCUUUAGAAAUAAAGAAGUGCCGUAAGGAACCCGGUGACAGGUGCUGCACGGUCGUCGUCAGCUCGUGCCUUGAGGUGUACUGUUAAGUCAGCGAACGAGCGCAACCCUCAUCCUAUGUUGUAUUUUCAUGGGAGACUGCCGCCUCCAAGGCGGAGGAAGGUGAGGAUGACGUCAGAUCAGCGUGGCCCUUAUGUCUGGGGCAACACCCGUGCUACAAUGGCCGGUACAAAGGGCAGCUAACCCGAGAGGGGGAGCCAAUCCCAUCAAAGCCGGUCCCAGUUCGGAUUGGAGUCUGCAACUCGACUCUAUGAAGUUGGAAUCGCUAGUAACCGUGAAUCAGCUAUGUCACGGUGAAUGAGUUCCUGGGUCUUGUACUCACCGCCCGUCAAGUCAUGAAAGGCAGGGGCACCCGAAGCACCCUUAUCCCGC